rnacentral:rRNA from 1 species
UACGUACGAGGCGAGCGUUAUCCGGAAUUACUGGGCGUAAAGCGCGCGCAGGUGGCUCGUUAAGUCGGGCGUGAAAUCUCCCGGCCUAACUGGGAAGGGUCGCCCUAGACUGGCGGACUUGAGGACUGCAGAGGUGGGUGGAAUUCCUGGUGUAGUGGUGAAAUGCGUAGAGAUCGGGAGGAACACCAGAGGCGAAGGCGGCGACCUGGAGAGUGACUGACACUCAACUGCGAAAGCGUGGGGAGCAAACAGG